rnacentral:rRNA from 1 species
AUGGAUGAUGAGAAGGACAAAAUAAUUAGGAAGGAAAACACAGAUAAAGCUAAGCGCCAUGUAUGGAAAUCUUCAGAGGACAAAAUACUACUCAAUAUAUUGAAAGAUCAAAGUCUACAGGGAGGAAAAGAAGGAACAGGUUACACAAAGAAAGCAUGGCGUGAUAUCUUAGGACAAUUCAACGAUUCAAGGGUAGAGAAACUUGAAUUACAACAACUGAAAAAUCGUCAUAAGUACUACAGGAGUUGCUACAGUACCAUGGACAGACUUCUAAAACUCACGGGAUUUGGUUGGGACGAUGAUGAUAAAAUGAUAAAAGCUUCAGAAGAAAUUUGGGAGGAACUGAUUAAGAAGGAUAAGUCACUACAGGAAUAUCGAGAUAAGGUGUGGCCUAGUUGGGUAGAUCUUCAAGCCAUAUGUGCUACUUCAACAGCAUCUGGAGCUGGUGCUGUAUCUAGCAAAGGAAAAGAUGCUGCAUAUACAAGCAAAUCUUCACAGAUUGAUCUCAAUAUGGAUGUUGAAGUUCAUGAGAUUGAUUCUGAUGAAAACGAUAUUUCCCCUGGUGUCUUCAUGAAGAAGUCAACUACCAUUGAGCAAGAAAAAAAGAAGUCCACUGGAAGUGGAUCAAAAGAAACUGGAAGAGGGCAAAAACGGACAGCCGACGAUGCCAUAUCAGCAAUUGACCGCCUUGCAGAUGCAUCACUUAGCAUUGCUGAAGCGAAGAAAACAGUAGCACAACAAAAUGAAGCUUACUCGGUUAAAUCAUGUAUGGCAAUAUUAAAGAGUAUGAGUAAUCUAGAUCCCAAAGAGAAACUAAAAGCGGUCAAGGCAUUUACAGAUGAUCCAAGCAAUCAAGUCCCAUCCAAAAUAUUGGGUGACGCAAGGUUCUACCCAUAUUUCAAGAACUGUCUAGGAGCAAUUGACGGGACACACAUUGAGGCGAAAAUCAGGCUUGAUAAGCAAACUCCUUACAGAAAUAGGCAUCAUUAUCCGUCUCAAAAUGUAAUGGCAGCAGUGUCAUUUGACAUGACAUUCUCUUAUGUCGCUGCUGGAUGGGAGGGUUCUGCAUCGGAUCAAGCUGUUCUACGAUGGGCUGUUACUAGUGGGGGUUUGGUUGUUCCUGAAGGCAAGUUUUAUCUUGUUGAUUCAGGCUAUGCAAAUACUCCAAAAUUUAUUGCCCCAUAUUGCGGAGAUCGCUAUCAUAUUGCUUCUUUUCGUGGAUGUAAUCGGAGAUAUACUGGUGAGAAGGAUUUGUUCAACCAUGUGCAUGCACAGCUGCAGAACAUUGUGGAACGAACCUUUGGUGUUCUGAAAGCUCGUUUUCCAAUUCUAAGUAGGAAAGGAGGAAUUCCUUAUCCAUAUAGAACCCAAGUUAAAAUUGUUAUGGCUUGUCGCAUCAUCCACAACUUCAUAAGGAAGGUUAAUGAGCCUGAUGAGUUGUUUGAGCUUUACGAGCAUGGGGAAACACAAGAAAAUGUUGACCAUGGUGAUCAACAAGUUCGUGGGCAAGCAAGAGAAGAUGAUCGAGUUGCUGGUGAGAGAGUUCGUGCUGGCAUCGCUCAACAAUUGUGGACUAAUCAUCAACGACGUGUGAACCGACAACAACAAGAUGAUUAA